rnacentral:rRNA from 1 species
AUUGAACGCUGGCGGCAGGCCUAACACAUGCAAGUCGAGCGGCAGCGGAAAGUAGCUUGCUACUUUGCCGGCGAGCGGCGGACGGGUGAGUAAUGUCUGGGAAACUGCCUGAUGGAGGGGGAUAACUACUGGAAACGGUAGCUAAUACCGCAUAACGUCGCAAGACCAAAGAGGGGGACCUUCGGGCCUCUUGCCAUCGGAUGUGCCCAGAUGGGAUUAGCUAGUAGGUGGGGUAACGGCUCACCUAGGCGACGAGCCCUAGCUGGUGUGAGGGGAUGACAAGCCACACUGGAACUGAGACCGGGUCCAGAGUCCUACGGGAGGCAGCAGUGGGGAAUAUUGCACAAUGGGCGCAAGCCUGAUGCAGCCAUGCCGCGUGUAUGAAGAAGGCCUUCGGGUUGUAAAGUACUUUCAGCGGGGAGGAAGGUGUUGAGGUUAAUAACCUCAGCAAUUGACGUUACCCGCAGAAGAAGCACCGGCUAACUCCGUGCCAGCCGCCGCCGUAA